UACGUAGGGUGCAAGCGUUAAUCGGAAUUAGCUAGGGCGUAACGUGCGCAGGCGUUAUGUAAGACAGAUGUGAAAUCCCGGGCUCAACCUGGGAACUGCAUUUGUGACUGCAUAGCUAGAGUACGGUAGAGGGGGGAUAGGAAUUCCGCGUGUAGCAGUGAAAUGCGUAGAUAUGCGGAGGAACACCGAUGGCGAAGGCAAUCCCCUGGGCCAAUGAACUGACGCUGGAGAAGCGAAAGCAUGGGG
rnacentral:rRNA from 1 species